rnacentral:rRNA from 1 species
GAUCAUGGCUCAGGAUGAACGCUAGCGGGAGGCCUAAUACAUGCAAGUCGAGCGGUAGAGUGACUUCGGUUGCUUGAGAGCGGCGAACGGGUGAGUAACGCGUACACAAUCUACCUUUAAGAGGGGAAUAGCCCUGGGAAACUGGGAUUAAUGCCCCAUGGCAUCACGAGACGGCAUCGUUUUGUGAUUAAAGCUGAGGUGCUUAGAGAUGAGUGUGCGUCUGAUUAGCUAGUUGGUGCGGUAACGGCGCACCAAGGCGACGAUCAGUAGGGGGCGUGAGAGCGUGGACCCCCACACGGGUACUGAGACACGGACCCGACUCCUACGGGAGGCAGCAGUAAGGAAUAUUGGUCAAUGGAGGAAACUCUGAACCAGCCAUCCCGCGUGCAGGAAGAAUGCCCUAUGGGUUGUAAACUGCUUUUAUCUGGGAAGAAAAGUCGGGAUUUAUCCUGAUCUGACGGUACCAGAGGAAUAAGCACCGGCUAACUCCGUG